AUACUUACCUGGCAGGGGAGAUACCACGAUCACGAAGGUGGUUUUCCCAGGGAGAGGCUUAUCCAUUGCACUCCGGAUGUGCUGACCCCUGCAAUUUCCCCAAAUGUGGGAAACUCGACUGCAUAAUUUGCAAUAGUGGGGUACUGCGUUCACGCUCUUCCCUG
ensembl:snRNA U1 U1 spliceosomal RNA